UACGGGGGGGGCAAGCGUUGUUCGGAAUUACUGGGCGUAAAGGGCUCGUAGGCGGCCAACUAAGUCAGACGUGAAAUCCCUCGGCUUAACCGGGGAACUGCGUCUGAUACUGGAUGGCUCGAGUUUGGGAGAGGGAUGCGGAAUUCCAGGUGUAGCGGUGAAAUGCGCAGAUAUCAGGAAGAACACCCGUGGCGAAGGCGGCUCUCUGGGACGGUACUGACGCUGAGACGCGAAAGCGUGGGGAGCGAACAGG
rnacentral:rRNA from 1 species